AGUGAACGCUGGCGGUAGGCCUAACACAUGCAAGUCGAACGGCAGCACAGGAGAGCUUGCUCUCUGGGUGGCGAGUGGCGGACGGGUGAGGAAUACAUCGGAAUCUACUUUUUCGUGGGGGAUAACGUAGGGAAACUUACGCUAAUACCGCAUACGACCUACGGGUGAAAGCAGGGGAUCUUCGGACCUUGCGCGAUUGAAUGAGCCGAUGUCGGAUUAGCCAGUUGGCGGGGUAAAGGCCCACCAAGGCGACGAUCCGUAGCUGGUCUGAGAGGAUGAUCAGCCACACUGGAACUGAGACACGGUCCAGACUCCUACGGGAGGCAGCAGUGGGGAAUAUUGGACAAUGGGCGCAAGCCUGAUCCAGCCAUACCGCGUGGGUGAAGAAGGCCUUCGGGUUGUAAAGCCCUUUUGUUGGGAAAGAAAUCCAGCUGGUUAAUACCCGGUUGGGAUGACGGUACCCAAAGAAUAAGCACCGGCUAGCUUCGUGCCAGCAGCCGCCGCCG
rnacentral:rRNA from 1 species